UACGGGGGGGGCGAGCGUUGUUCGGAAUCACUGGGCGUAAAGGGCGCGUAGGCGGCCCGCACAAGUCUGCGGUGAAAACCCCCGGCUUAACCGGGGGCCGGCCGUGGAAACUGUCGGGCUGGAGGCUGGGAGAGGGCAGCGGAAUUCCCGGUGUAGCGGUGAAAUGCGUAGAUAUGUGGAGGAAUACCGAUGGCGAAGGCAGCCCCCUGGGAUAACACUGACGCUCAUGCACGAAAGCGUGGGGAGCAAACAGG
rnacentral:rRNA from 1 species